rnacentral:tRNA from 1 species
AGUUCAGAAGCGAUAAACGCGCUAAGUUUCGGCCUUAGAAUAGAGGAUUCCCUCCUGAAUUU